rnacentral:misc_RNA from 1 species
GUGAAUCAUCGAAUCUUUGAACGCACCUUGCGCUCCUUGGUAUUCCGAGGAGCAUGCCUGUUUGAGUGUCAUGAAGUCAUCAACCCUACCCGUUUUUGUGCGGGUGUUGGGUUGGAUCUGGAGGAAUGCUGCUGUCAAGGCUGCUCCCCCAAAAUGCAUCGGUUGGACCUGUGGUCAAACUCGACUGGGCGUUGUACCAUCCUCGCUCUAUCUUGAGAUGUCCUCCUGUCCUCCCAAGACUGGCCCUUCUGGAGUGGGCUGUCAAACUUAGCUUUGAAAUCUGACCUCAAAUCAGGUAGGACUACCCGCUGAACUUAAGCAUAUCAAUAAGCGGAGGA